GAUGAACGCUGGCGGCGUGCCUAAUACAUGCAAGUCGAGCGAACAGACGAGGAGCUUGCUCCUCUGACGUUAGCGGCGGACGGGUGAGUAACACGUGGAUAACCUACCUAUAAGACUGGGAUAACUUCGGGAAACCGGAGCUAAUACCGGAUAACAUGUUGAACCGCAUGGUUCAACAGUGAAAGACGGUCUUGCUGUCACUUAUAGAUGGAUCCGCGCCGCAUUAGCUAGUUGGUAACGUAACGGCUUACCAAGGCAACGAUGCGUAGCCGACCUGAGAGGGUGAUCGGCCACACUGGAACUGAGACACGGUCCAGACUCCUACGGGAGGCAGCAGUAGGGAAUCUUCCGCAAUGGGCGAAAGCCUGACGGAGCAACGCCGCGUGAGUGAAGAAGGUCUUCGGAUCGUAAAACUCUGUUAUUAGGGAAGAACAAAUGUGUAAGUAACUAUGCACGUCUUGACGGUACCUAAUCAGAAAGCCACGGCUAACUACGUG
rnacentral:rRNA from 1 species